rnacentral:rRNA from 1 species
UACGGAGGGUGCGAGCGUUGUUCGGAAUUACUGGGCGUAAAGCGCGUGUCGGCGGCUGGGCAAGUCAGAUGUGAAAUCCCCGGGCUCAACCCUGGAACUGCAUCUGAAACUACCUGGCUAGAGUCUCGGAGAGGAAGGCAGAAUUCCCGGUGUAGGGGUGAAAUCCGUAGAUACCGGGAGGAAUACCAGUAGCGAAGGCGGCCUUCUGGACGAUGACUGACGCUCAGACGCGAAAGCGUGGGGAGCAAACAGG